AUUGAACGCUGGCGGCAGGCCUAACACAUGCAAGUCGAACGAGUGGCGGACGGGUGAGUAAUGUCUGGGAAACUGCCCGAUGGAGGGGGAUAACUACUGGAAACGGUAGCUAAUACCGCAUACCAUCGGAUGUGCCCAGAGGGGAUUAGCUAGUAGGUGGGGUAACGGCUCACCUAGGCGACGAUCCCUAGCUGGUCUGAGAGGAGGACCAGCAACGCUGGAACUGAGACACGUGACUAGCUCAUACGGUAGGCAGCAGUGGGGAAUAUUUCACAAUGGGCGCAAGCAUGAUGCUGCCAUGCCGGGUGUAUGAAGAAGGCCGUCGGGUUGUAAAGUACUUUCAGCGAGGAGGCGUUACUCGCAGAAGAAGCACCGGCUAACUCCGUGCCAGCCGCCGCGGUAAUAC
rnacentral:rRNA from 1 species